rnacentral:rRNA from 1 species
AGCAGCCGCGGUAAUUCCAGCUCCAAUAGCGUAUAUUAAAGUUGUUGCAGUUAAAAAGCUCGUAGUUGAAUUUCGGAAUCUGUCCGUCGGUCGGGCUUCACUGUCCGUACUGGUGUGAUGGGUUUCUACCUUCUGAAUAACCGGCAUGUCAUUAAUUUGGUGCGCCGGGGAAGCAGAACUAUUACCUUGAAAAAAUUAGAGUGCUUAAAGCAGGCUAUCGCCUGAAUAGAUUAGCAUGGAAUAAUAAAAUAGGACGGCAUGGUUCUAUUUUGUUGGUUUCUAGGAUCACCGUAAUGAUUAAUAGGGAUAGUUGGGGGCAUUAGUAUUCAAUUGUCAGAGGUGAAAUUCUUGGAUUUAUUGAAGACUAACUUCUGCGAAAGCAUUUGCCAAGGAUGUUUUCAUUAAUCAAGAACGAAAGUUAGGGGAUCGAAGACGAUCAGAUACCGUCGUAGUCUUAACCAUAAACUAUGCCGACUAGGGAUCGGACGAUGUUAAUUUUUUAAUGACUCGUUCGGCGCCUUACG